UACGUAGGGCGCAAGCGUUGUCCGGAAUUAUUGGGCGUAAAGAGCUCGUAGGCGGUUUGUCGCGUCUGGUGUGAAAACUCAAGGCUCAACCUUGAGCUUGCAUCGGGUACGGGCAGACUAGAGUGCGGUAGGGGUGACUGGAAUUCCUGGUGUAGCGGUGGAAUGCGCAGAUAUCAGGAGGAACACCGAUGGCGAAGGCAGGUCACUGGGCCGCAACUGACGCUGAGGAGCGAAGGCAUGGGGAGCGAACAGG
rnacentral:rRNA from 1 species